UAAGGUGGUUAUUGCGGCGGGGCUCACCUCUUCCCUUCCCGAACAGAGAAGUUAAGCCCGCCUGCGCAGAUGGUACUGCAAUUUGUGGGAGAGUAUGUCGCCGCCUUUU
rnacentral:rRNA from 1 species